rnacentral:rRNA from 2 species
UGGGGAAUAUUGCGCAAUGGGGGAAACCCUGACGCAGCAACGCCGCGUGAAGGAUGAAGGUUUUCGGAUUGUAAACUUCUUUGAUGAGGGACGAACACAAUGACGGUACCUCAAAAACAAGCCACGGCUAACUACGUGCCAGCAGCCGCGGUAAUACGUAGGUGGCGAGCGUUGUCCGGAAUUACUGGGUGUAAAGGGCGUGUAGGCGGGAAAGCAAGUCAGAUGUGAAAUACCGGGGCUUAACUCCGGGGCUGCAUCUGAAACUGUGAUUCUUGAGUGUCGGAGAGGAAAGUGGAAUUCCCAGUGUAGCGGUGAAAUGCGUAGAUAUUGGGAGGAACACCGGUGGCGAAGGCGACUUGCUGGGCAGCAACUGACGCUGAGGCGCGAAAGCGUGGGGAGCAAACAGG